GGCGGGACGUUUAGGACGUUUCCUCUUUUUUUUUUUUUUUAAUCGUCAUCGACCCAUGGACCUGUUUGUUGUCGAGUAAGAUGGAGUUCCUUCUGGGAAACCCUUACAGCACCCCGGUGGGGCAUUGCAUCGAGAGAGCCACCGAUGGCUCUCUGCAAAAUGAAGACUGGACUCUUAACAUGGAAAUCUGUGAUCUAAUCAAUGAGACCGAGGAUGGGCCAAAGGAUGCGAUUAGAGCCGUGAAGAAGAGGCUGAAUGGCAACAGGAACUACAGAGAAGUGAUGUUGACUUUAACGGUCCUGGAGACGGGUGUGAAAAACUGCGGCCAUCGCUUCCACGCUUUGGUCACCAGCAGGGACUUUGUGGAUGGCGUGCUCGUGAAAAUCAUCUCCCCUAAAAACAACCCGCCUACAAUAGUUCAAGACAAAGUACUUGCACUUAUUCAGGCGUGGGCUGAUGCCUUCAGGAGCAGUCCAGACCUUACAGGUGUGGUCCAAGUUUAUGAAGAGCUAAAGAGGAAAGGGAUUGAGUUCCCCAUGUCGGACCUAGAGACCCUGUCGCCUAUACACACGCCCCAGCGGUUGGCUUCUGCUCCGGAGGGCGACUCCACCCUGCAUAAGUUCAGCGGCUCUCCUCAGCCCCCACCACAGGUGGUCCCACCUGCCUACAUCGCCCCUCAGGUUCCCGUCGUCCCGGCCUCUGGAUCCAUCAAUCCCACAUCUGAGCAGAUCUGCCGGCUGCGCAGCGAACUGGACGUCGUCCGUGGAAACACUAAGGUGAUGUCAGAGAUGUUGACUGAGAUGGUCCCAGGACAGGAGGACGCUUCCGACUAUGAGCUGCUGCAGGAGCUGCACAGGACUUGUAGAUCCAUGCAGCAGAGGAUAGUGGAGCUCAUCUCUUGUGUUUCCAAUGAGACGGUGACUGAGGAGCUGCUGCACGUCAACGAUGACCUCAACAACAUCUUCCUACGCUACGAAAGGUAUGAGAGGUUCAGGUCUGGGAGGUCCUCUGCUCAGACCGUCAACAAUGGGCUGACACAGGUGUUGAGUGAGGCCACCGAGGACAACCUCAUCGACCUCGGCCCAGGCUCCCCAGCAGUGGUCAGCAACAUGCAGAACGCCCCCCCAGCCAGCCUGCCCCCCGCCGCCGCCGCCGCCCACGCAGCAAGGCCCUCCUCCCCGGCCACCUUGGCCUCCCGCCUGGCCGGCCUCGACGUCGGCGCCGACAGCGUCAGCAGCACCUUGAGCUUUCUGUCCAGCUGUAAGUCCCCCGCCGGCCAGGACGACUUCGACGUCUUCGCUCAGACGAGGACCGGCGCUCUGCCUGAGACGCACAAGACCGCCGCAGCCGCAGGAGAAGAAGAAGAGGGCAACGCCUGCGAGGGCCGCCCCCCCCACCCUGGAUGUGCAUCAGCCCGCAGCAGAAGCGGCCGCCGGAGGCCGGGCCGCUGUCAUGGAUGACAUAGAGGAGUGGCUCUGUACUGAUGUGCAAGGGGACGAAGUUGAAGAAGGCGUGACGAGUGAAGAGUUCGACAAGUUCCUGGAGGAGAGGGCCAAAGCGGUGGAGAAGGUCCCCAGCUUGCCGUCGCCCCCCAGCGGCGAGCCGGGGGCAGCACAGGGAACCCCC